rnacentral:rRNA from 1 species
UACGAGGGGGGCAAGCGUUGUUCGGAAUUACUGGGCGUAAAGGGCGCGUAGGCGGCCUUCUAAGUCGAACGUGAAAUCCCCGGGCUCAACCCGGGAACUGCGUCCGAUACUGGAAGGCUUGAAUCCGGGAGAGGGACGCGGAAUUCCAGGUGUAGCGGUGAAAUGCGUAGAUAUCUGGAGGAACACCGGUGGCGAAGGCGGCAUCCUGGACCGGUAUUGACGCUGAGGCGCGAAAGCCAGGGGAGCAAACGGG